ACUCCUACGGGAGGCAGCAGUAGGGAAUCUUCCACAAUGGACGAAAGUCUGAUGGAGCAACGCCGCGUGAACGAUGAAGGCUUUCGGGUCGUAAAGUUCUGUUGUAAGGGAAGAACAAGUGCCGCAGGCAAUGGCGGCACCUUGACGGUACCUUGCGAGAAAGCCACGGCUAACUACGUGCCAGCAGCCGCGGUAAUACGUAGGUGGCAAGCGUUGUCCGGAAUUAUUGGGCGUAAAGCGCGCGCAGGCGGCCUCUUAAGUCUGAUGUGAAAGCCCCCGGCUCAACCGGGGGAGGGCCAUUGGAAACUGGGAGGCUUGAGUAUAGGAGAGAAGAGUGGAAUUCCACGUGUAGCGGUGAAAUGCGUAGAGAUGUGGAGGAACACCAGUGGCGAAGGCGACUCUUUGGCCUAUAACUGACGCUGAGGCGCGAAAGC
rnacentral:rRNA from 1 species